AUUGACCAUCAGCGUCUUUAUGCUGAGAUAGGAGACGCUAUAGCUCUGCUAUCGGGGAUCUAGAU
rnacentral:sRNA from 1 species